rnacentral:rRNA from 1 species
AAGUAUACUUGCUGACGUCUGGCAUUCAUCGUUUACGGUGUGGACUACCAGGGUAUCUAAUCCUGUUUGCUCCCCACACUUUCGCACCUCAGCGUCAGUUUCGAGCCAGUAAGCCGCCUUCGCCACUGGUGUUCCUCCAAAUAUCUACGAAUUUCACCUCUACACUUGGAAUUCCACUUACCUCUCUCGAACUCAAGACUAGCAGUAUUAAAGGCAGUUCCAGGGUUGAGCCCUGGGAUUUCACCCUUAACUUACUAAUCCGCCUACGUGCGCUUUACGCCCAGUAAUUCCGAACAACGCUAACCCCCUCCGUAUUACCGCGGCUGCUGGCACGGAGUUAGCCGGGGUUUCUUUACCAGAUACUGUCAUUAUCAUCUCUGGCGAAAGUGCUUUACGACCCUAAGGCCUUCAUCACACACGCGGCAUGGCUAGAUCAGGGUUUCCCCCAUUGUCUAAGAUUCCCUACUGCUGCCUCCCGUAGGAGUCUGGGCCGUGUCUCAGUCCCAGUGUGGCUGAUCAUCCUCUCAAACCAGCUAUAGAUCGUAGGCUUGGUAGGCCAUUACCCCACCAACUACCUAAUCUAACGCGGGCUAAUCCUUCUCCGAUAAAUCUUUCCCCCGAAGGGCGUAUAAGGUAUUACUCUCAGUUUCCCGAGGCUAUUCCUUAGAGAAGGGCAUAUUCCCACGCGUUACUCACCCGUCCGCCGCUCACCCCGAAGGGCGCGCUCGACUUGCAUGUAUUAGGCCUGCCGCCAGCGUUCGUUCUGAGCCAGGAUCAAACUCU